GGCCCAUGCACUUCGAAGCUCCCUGCAGUCUCCCUUCUGUCUUCCCCCGCCCUCACUCCCGGCUGGUUUAUGGCAGAGAUGGGUAGGGCGGGGGACUCUUCGGCCUGGCAUCCCUGCAGCCAGCUGGCUCAGCCUUCAAGGAGGCCCCGGCUGAACCUCGCGUCACCCCGCUGAAGCGCGCGGCCAAGCGCUCCGGCGAGAGAAAGGCCUUUUUUGGUAACACUCAGCCCCGCGCUUUAGGAUACUUCCUACCACCACUGCCCCACCCACCCUUCGACGCGGCUGCCUCGGUUUCCCGGACCAGCAGUGUGUGCACACGACCCCGUGGUCUGCAACUACCAGAGCGUUCCAAACGAGUCCGAAGCCUCGGCUCCUCUCCCCGCACCUCCCCCUCCUGGAGCCCUCGGUGGCCCGCUGACGUUUCCUGGACGUUGUGAACUCGCACCUGCAGGAAAUCUGGGUCUUUCUAAAGGCGUCUUCUUGCAGCAGAGGCAACCGAGUCCCUCAGAACCGUGGGCUUUCGAGUGAG
rnacentral:lncRNA from 1 species